rnacentral:lncRNA from 1 species
GGAGGCUGCUGAAGGGGAGAAAGGAGUGAGGAGCUGCUGGGCAGAGAGGGACUGUCCGGCUCCCAGAUGCUGGGCCUCCUGGGGAGCACAGCCCUCGUGGGAUGGAUCACAGGUGCUGCUGUGGCGGUCCUGCUGCUGCUGCUGCUGCUGGCCACCUGCCUUUUCCACGGACGGCAGGACUGUGACGUGGAGAGGAACCGUACAGCUGCAGGGGGAAACCGAGUCCGCCGGGCCCAGCCUUGGCCCUUCCGGCGGCGGGGCCACCUGGGAAUCUUUCACCAUCACCGUCAUCCUGGCCACGUAUCUCAUGUGCCGAAUGUGGGCCUCCACCACCACCACCACCCCCGCCACACCCCUCACCACCUCCACCACCACCACCACCCCCACCGCCACCAUCCCCGCCACGCUCGCUGAGGCUGCUGUCGCCGGUGCCUGUGGACAGCAGCUGCCCCUGCCCUCCCAUCUGUUCCCAGGACAAGUGGACCCCAUGUUUCCAUGUGGAAGGAUGCAUCUCUGGGGUGAACGAGGGGAACAAUAGACUGGGGCUUGCUCCAGCUGCAUUUGCAUGGCAUGCCCCAGUGUACUAUGGCAGCAGAGAAUGGAGGAACACUGGGUCUGCAGUGCUGAAGGGUUUGGGGAGUGGAGAGCAAGGGUGCUCUUUCGGGGCUGGACAGCCCGUCUUGUGACAGUGACUCCCAGUGAGCCCCAGAAAUGACAAGCGUGUCUUGGCAGAGCCAGCACACAAGUGGAUGUGAAGUGCCCGUCUUGACCUCCUCAUCAGGCUGCUGCAGGCCUCUGGCGGGCAGGGCACUGGGAGAGGCCCUGAGAAUGUCCUUUUGGUUUGGAGAAGGCAGUGUGAGGCUGCACAGUCAAUUCAUCGGUGCCUUAGUCCAAGAAAAUAAAAACCACUAAGAAGCUUUUGUGAAGAGGCUCUUGAUUGCAGCAUAGUGGGAGGGAGGGAGCUGCCUGGCCUGUGUCCUCAUUGCCCUGGGACCUCCCUCUCUGAUGGGAAGCGUGUGGCUGGAGCAGGCGAAGGUUGGAGCCGCUGCGAGCCUGGCUCCCCAGGGCUCUGCCCCUGUACUUUUUUCAGCCCAUGUCCAGGGCAGACUGAGCUCUGAAACUCGAGGAAGCCCCAUCCACAGGCUGCCUUGAAUCCAGUUUCCUUGGUAAUUGGAUCAGGGUUUCUUCUCCAAGCCUUGCGUUUUCAGCCAUCCUGCCCCAGCUGGUGCCUGUGUGUGGUGGGAGGGCUGGGAGGCAGCGAGUGGAGUUCUUUAAAGUGGAGGCUGUGGUGCUGGGGUGCAGGGUGUUGGAUGGCCUUGGGAGAAUGCUGGGGUCUCACUUUCCUCUUCUCUGCAAUGGGGUGGAUAACAGAGAUGCCCACGUGCCGAAGCCUGGAGGCUCGUUGGAAUAUGCUCUGUGAACAGCUAGUGGGAUCCACAGCGAGGAAGGAAGCCUGGCUCUGAGGCCUUCAGCCUGUGCCUGUGAGCUGAGGUGGGAAUUGGGGGAAGACAAGGACUGGGGGCCAGGAGAGGCAGUGGGGAGGGGCUGGAGAGCAGGCCAGAGACUCAGGGACCUGGUGACUCACUGGAAUAGAAUGUCCUCUUUCCUUUCUAUUUCCCAGUGGAUUCUCUGUGAGGGCUGCAGGAGGAGGGAGUGAGAGAGAGAGGGAGGCAAAUUCACACUGAUUUCUCCCACCUGAGGUUUCUGGGUUGGGAAAGUUGACCCUAGGCUGCCGUGCAGUGUCGAUUUUCUCUGCAGUGUCCUUCAAAUCCACCCCCUUCUCCAUUCCCAUGCCCUGCCUAGCCCAGCCCCCUCCAUCCCCCUCCUGGAUUCCUGCCAGCCUGCUCCCUGCAGCCCUGCCCCUUUCCCAGGCAUCUCCAGGCUGAUUUCACAGAUGAAUCAAAGAUGGGGAGGAGGUUCCCCGAAAGCAGGAAACGGAAAAGGAAGCCUAUGCAGGGCAGGAGAGAACCCGCUGAGCAAUUGCCCUUUAUUCCAGUUCAAAAAUGCGGAACCACUCAGACAAUCUGCAGGCGGCCUAUGGCUGCGUGUACACAGGAAGAAUAGGCGAUGAGAAAUCAAAGGAACAAAUGUUAAAGCUUGAGGCAUAGUCUCCUGGUGCCCUCUAUCACCCCAGUUAAGGAGGUGAUGUUGGUAACUCAACCUGAAACCACAGGCCCUGCAGAUCAGCCCGUCGUCUCCUUCCUCCUGGUCAUCCCAGUUAAUACAAACAAUCCAAGGAAUUGGCUUCCUGUCAUGGCCCACAGCCUGCUCCAUGUGGAGGAGGAGCCCAGGGCCCAGAUGGUCUCAUCAUCUCAGAAAAGGGACAGAUUGAGAAUAUGACAGGCUAUCGUUUGCUCUGAAAAGUUGCUCUCCCAUUCUGUGCAAAGUGCCAGUUUCCUAAUGCUGAUACUAAAGAAAGUUCCCUUGGGCCUUGGAGAAACUGAAAAGGACCCAGGCUAUGUGAACUUGGGCCAGCCCUCUGCCCUUUCUGGCACUUUGCACCCAGAUCAUUAAAACCGCAGAAUCAGAUGGUCGCUCUGUGGUCCCAUGGUAACUGGAAAGUGCACUGAGCUAGGAGUGGAGGGAGGGCGGUCCCUCCUCGGCCAUUGCUCGUGCCUGUUAACAUGGCUAAUUCAGAAUGGGGGGCAGGUCAUUUAACUUCUAUGACCAUAGGAUCUUUUUCUAUAAAAUGGAGGCUAUAUCGCUAUGCAGGGUUGCUGGGGAGGUUAUAUGAGAUCAUGUCUGGUGAGGUCCCAUGCCUGGAGUUAUUGUUCUCACUACUCUGUUUCCCAGAAUAUGGACAAAGUGGGGCUAAUAGCCCAGUCUCCUUUCUGGAAGUGGUGGGGGUCUCAGGAGGUGCUGGGUGUGAAAGGGCUCUCACCUGGCAGACUAACUCAGUUGCCUGGGCCUAGCUUAUUCCCCUGACCUCCUGGCAGGGAGGAGGGUGGAAAAGGCCUGGGGUGCGCAUGGCGGGACGGGAUAACUGCUGAGCGGGGGUUGGAGGGCUGCAGUGUGGGUCCUGGGCCCUCGCUCACAAUUGGAGGAAAGAAUUCAGGAAGUGCUCACAGCUGCUCAGACAUCUCGGAGCCAAGUUCCAACCAGGACAGAGGCUGCAGCACCCAGGGAGGAACGCCGUGGUCCCUGGGACGGCCACCAGGCCAGGAGGCUGCAGCACCAGGGAAUCUGUGCUCACGUCUUCCAGGACAGUGCUUCUUCUAGAAGCUGACAUGGAGCUGACCACAGCUCUUGGAGGCAUGGCCUGAGGCUUAGAAAAUAGACAGAGAUCAUCUGAGAUUUCAGCAGUGGGGCCACGUGGCAGCGCCCGAAGGCCUGGAGCAGGAGCGACCCAGGGACUCAGAGCAGCAUCUUCUUAGGAGACGGAAGGAGAGCCGCCGGAGGAGCACGGGGCACCUGCGAUCGCGAAGAGCCUCCUGUUCUGGAUGGGAGCGAAGGCUCCGAGAGGACCUAAGGUUGCUCAGUGGGCCAUGGAAACGGCAGUGAUUGGGGUGGUGGUGGUGCUGUUCGUGGUGACUGUGGCCAUCACCUGCGUCCUCUGCUGCUUCAGCUGUGACUCAAGGGCCCAGGAUCCUCAGGGGGGUCCUGGCCGCAGCUUCACGGUGGCCACGUUUCGCCAGGAAGCUUCUCUCUUCACGGGGCCUGUUCGCCAUGCCCAGCCAGUGCCAAGUGCCCAGGACUUCUGGACCUUCAUGUGACGCCCGAGUCCCCAGGAUUUGCUGUGCUGAUGGGUCAGACUCACCCGCUCCUCAGCAAGCCUUCCCUGGCCUUCCCCUCCUCCCAGGGCCUUCUCCCUGUCCUUCCCCUCCAGUAACCUGUGAACUUCCCGUCUCCUCCCAUUCCAGCCUUCUGUGCCCUCCAGCCUCAGGGAUCCUUGUUAUUGGGACAGCCCAGCUGGGGUUGACCCACAGGAUGGGGCUUAGGAGAGCUCUGAGGAGUGAGUGAACAGACAGCGCCGGAGUGCACGGUGGGCCGGCUCUGCUGAUCUACACCAGGAACUGAAAUAUCACUGGAAUUUAUUGUAAACGGUGUGCCUAUGAUGCUGGUUCUGUUGCCACCUGGGCACGCAGCACCCUCAAGUGGACAUUUCUAGAAACCGCUUCUUACUUGCUCCUAAUUGAUUACUUUUGCACAUUGCACAGAACCCAACCUCGAGGCCUGCUCCCUGCCAGUUGCCUGAAAUCAGCCCUGAAAUUCUGAAACCAAAGAGCUGCUUCCUGAGAACAAGUUAUUUACCUUAGAAUUGAAAAUGUAUAUCCUUUUAUGGGCCUUUCCAAAUCUGAUUAGAAAAACCACAAAAGGAAACAGAAGAGAAAAUAAGAGCCACAGAAAGUACAAUAUGUUUUAUUAACAGGAAAGCCAGAAAUAAGAUAUUUUAAACAUAUUUUUAAUGAGACUUUAUUGCUAUAUUCCAACAGGUCACUCCUAUUCUUAGAGAAUGUGAAUGACUUGUGUCACUUCGGAGUGACAGAAAAAUCAGGAACUGAAAGAUAAUUCCAGACAAGUUAAAAUGUUAUGUUACAUUCAAAGCUCUUGUUUUCAUCACAAAUAAGGGGAUAUUCAGUUUUUAUUAACAGAAAACCCAUUCUCCCAUGGCCAUGGAAUAAAUGCCAUGCUAUAUUUAAGGAGUUUGGUUUGAAGGGUGCAAAAUUGUGAGCCUCCUGGCUCUUAUGUCUGUAUCCAGCCCUGAAUAGAUGGCUCUCCCAGGACCUGUUUGUUGAGGGGGGCAGGACUGAGCUUUAGGGGGGCUCUGGCCUCUAAGGGUGUCCAGACAGGCUGCCCUUGCCAUGUGGCUGCCAUGGGAAGGGCUUUCAGAGUGGCUUGGAGCUGGAGAGGUGCACGCGGGGAGGGGGAAGUGGUGGGGAGAGUGAGGCUGACGGAGAGGGAUGGGGAGGAGCAUGGUGGGCGAGGCUCAGCCCAGGUCCAGGAGCUCCUGGGACCAUGUCCUGGACACUCCUGACACCAGCCCUCGACGCAGGGCCUUCAGAGAUGCACAGAGAAGGGAACGGCACAUGUGGGGAGGCCCUGGAGACGGAGGGAAGAGAACUUUUGAGGGCUGUGUUCUCUAAAAGCGAACAGUGAGACAAAGUUCGGGUGCAAGAUAUUUGUCAGGGAUCAACACCUACAAAGGGGAGAAGGAAGAAGCAGGAUUGGGCAGAGGAAGAAGUCAAACCGUGAUGCAGGUCCUUCAUAUCCCCACCUUUGCUCCGUCUCUGAGUCCCUCUCCCCUCUCCCAGGGUCUGACCUCAGCCAGGGCAGCUCUCUGCAGCUGAGGCAGGUCUUGAAGCCCUUCCUAUUUUAUUAUUUUUAUUUUAUUUUAUUUUAUUUUAUUUUAUUUUAGGAGAUGGGAUCUCACUCUGCCACCUGGGCCAGAGUGCAGUCGUGUGAUCAUAGGUCACUGCAGCCUCAAAUUCCAGGGCUCAGUCAAUCCUCCCACCUCCGCCUCCUGAGUGGCUGGGACUAUAGGUGCAUGCCACCGUGCCUAGCUAAUUAAAAAAUCCUUUUCUUGUAGAGAUGGGAUUUCACUAUGUUUCCAAACCUGGUCUUGAACUCUCCUGGCCUCAAGUGAUCCUCCCACCUUGGCCUCCCAAAAUGUUGGGAUUACAGGUGUGAGCCAUUGCAUUUGGCUGAAGUCCUUCCUUUGAAGGGGACCUGGGCAGCACAUCUCCACAGAAACUCUGUAGGGUCCUGUUCUUGGAAGAGCCUAGACUGGUCAGAGGAGAAAACAAGAUGGAACCCAGUGACUGGCCACCAUGGACACAUGCAAGGGAGAAGGAGAAGUCCCCAGUAGGAAAAGGUGAGUCGGAGGGAGAGUUUAAAGAGCCCACGAGGCUUAGGGCUGGAGCUUGGUAGUGAAGGAAGAAGACUAAAGAGGAUCCCAGGUAGACUGAAAGAGGGGCAACUGCUUGGGCAGCAGCCAGGGUUGAGAACAAAGGUUGCCAAGACCUUUGAGGAACAUGAGGGGCAACCUGAAUAGGGCACAGGACCCACCCCUAAUCCUUCCUCUAUGGUGGAUGCUAUGGACAUUGCAACAGGCAACUGGAACCCAAGGAAAGAAUCCUUGAAUUUCUUGCAAGUGACUACCUGGCUAAUCCUCAGACAGACACUCUUCUCCAGUUAUGGUUAAAGCUUUGCCCUUCUGAAAUUAAGGAUAUGGUAAGGGGUUUCAGUUAGAUGAGGAAAUUAAGGCUUAAAGAGGCAAAGCACCAAAUGCAAUGAGAGGACCUUAUUUAGAUCUUAAUUCAAACAAAGAUACCAUUAAGAGAGAGAGAGAGAAAAACAUUAGGACAUUAUGAGACAAUUAUAAUUUUCAAAUUUAGAAAUGACUAGAUAUUUGAUGAUAAUAAGACACUACUAACAUUUUACACAUGAUAAUAGUAUUGUGCAAUAUGUUAAAAGAAGUCAUCUUCUAGAGAUACCUUUUUAAUGGGUAUAAUAAAAUAUUUAUGGGUAUAAUGAUGCAGUGUCUGCCAUUUGCCUCAGAUUAAUGAUGGAGUUGGAGAAGUUGGAUAAGGUUAUAAAUGGAAGAAGGUUGGCUAUGGGUUGGUCAUUGCUGAGGCUGAGUGAUGAAUAGAACAUGGUUGUUAGUAAAAUUAUUCUAUUUUUGUGUAUGUUUAAAACUGUGCAUAAUGUUGAGGUCUAGCAACUUGUCUGUUUCUGUGGCUAGUAAGUGACGAAGGUGAAAGGGACCUAAGGGCUGUUUGUUCCCUGAACCUGUGCUCUUGAUGACUUUGCUCCUCUACAUCCUUCCAACCCACCUAGGGCAGGAAAUGUCCUCCCUAGCAUCCCCCACAUGUGCUCUGUCUUCUGUCUAGACACCUUCUGAGUCAGGCCAUUUCACUGGAAGAUUCCUCUCCACAAUGAGCUGUAACUUUGAUCCCCUUAUUCUGCUUCUUGUCGGAGAAGGCUUCCCUGACCACUGCCACCCCAGGCUAGAGUACGUAGCCUAUGCUAAGCUUCUAAAGUGAUCUAUACACUCCUUCAUGGGACUCAUCACACUGACAGUUAGUUACCUAUUCA